CUUAGUCUGCUAUAUUUAGCUGUUAAAAAGAGUUCUCUCUGAUCUCUUUUUUGGGAACGGUCCUCUGCCCCAGCUUCUCUGUUACCCACUCUGCAGGGUGUGACAGCUGAGGCUGGUCACGUGGAAAAACAAAACAGGCUUCUCGCGUUGGGGAGAGUGAUCGUAUUUUAUGCGGUGGGAAAAGUAAGGAGGAAGAUAGGUUCUUUGAGCUACAAGAAGAGCCUGAGGGAAUGUCCAGUCGAGUGGUUUUCAGCUUUCCUGUAGCCCUUGGUCCUCCAACAUGAGGGCGGAUGCUCAGGGCAGGUGAGGCCUUGGGAGCCCCUGCUCACGUGGUCACUCUGUCCUCUCUGGCCAUGAUGAUCGACGACGAGGCCCAGCCUUGAAACCUGCUCCGAAGAGGCGGGAGAUGCGGGGCCUUGCAGACAGGUGGCCGCUGUUCAGACGGGUGGGCGCCCAGGAUGCCACCUCGCACACCAGGGCCUGCGCAUCACAGCAGGCUGCCCUCUAGGCCCCGAGCUUGCACAGCUGACGACUAAAGUGCCAGGGCCCGGCAGGAGAGCUUCGAUCCAUCGAGAUCAAACUUCAAAAAAAAAGAGCUAGUUUGUCUUCACAUAAGGAAGAAGAAAGAAUGACCAAAAGUAGAAUUUGGGUGUGUCUUCUGUCUGUGACCAGGCUUCCCUGGUCUGGGGUUUGAGCCUCGUCUUAGACGCUGGUGAGAGCUGGAUGGAACCCCCUUGUGAAGAAAGGCUUACGGGAAGGGGGGGACCACAGGACACCUGUUGGGGUUUUGACCAGAUGCUUCAGAUGUGGAUCAACUGAGGGGAACUGACGUCUUGACAAUAUUGAGUCUUCCAGCUCACGAGCAAGGUGUGUCUCUGCACUAAUACAGGACUUGAAUUUCCUCAGCAAAGUAGUGUGGGUCUUACGUACCUGUGUCAGACUUAGUUGUGAGUUUGAUGCCAUUGCAAAUGGUGAUGUGUUUUUAGUUAAAAUCUCCAACUGUUCCUCAUUCGUUGCAGUGCAGUCACCUCCCUGUGUCCGCGGGUGAUGCGUUCCAGGGCCCCUGAGGGCACCCAAAUCCAAGGACGCUCAAAUUUCUCUAUCAAAUGUUUGCGUAUAACCUACAUACAGCCUCCCAUAGACUUUAAAUCAUCUCUAGAUUGCUUGUAAUGCCUGCUACAAUGUAAAUGUUAUAUAAAUACUUGUAAAUACAAUGCUACGUAUAUAGGUCCCAGGAUGUGGAAAAUUCAAGUUUUGCUUUUGGGAACUUUCUGAAAUUAAAUAUAUGUAUUUGAUCUGUGGUUGGUUGGAUCUGAGGGUGCUGGACAUGCAGAUAUGAAAGGUUGACUGUGUAUAGAAAUGCAUUUGAUAUUUCAUACUGACCUUGUACCCUGCACCCCUACUUUUACUUGUUAAUUCUUGAAUCUUUUUACUUAGAGUUCACUAGAUUUUCUGCGUAGGUGAUUAUGUUGUCUGCAAAUAAGACAGGUUUAGUUCUUCCUUUCUCAUCUGGGGCCAUUUGAUUUCUUUUUCUUUCCCUGAUGGAUUGCUGGGACCCCCCCCCCCAUUACAAUAGUGAGUACAAGUGGUGAAAGUCAUGUCCUUGUCUUAUUCUUGAUCUCAGGAAUAAAACUGUCAGCAUUUCACCGUUAUGUGCACUUUAUCAGAGUGAAGAAAUUUCUCUCCUAUUCCCAGUUUACUGUGAAGCUGUAUUUUGUAAAAUACUUCUGUGUCCAUUGAGAUCAU